GAUUCAUAAUAACUUAACGAAUCGCAUGGCCUUGUGCCGGCGAUGGUUCAUUCAAAUUUCUGCCCUAUCAACUUUCGAUGGUAAGGUAUUGGCUUACCAUGGUUUCAACGGGUAACGGGGAAUUAGGGUUCUAUUCCGGAGAGGGAGCCUGAGAAACGGCUACCACAUCCAAGGAAGGCAGCAGGCGCGCAAAUUACCCAAUCCCGACACGGGGAGGUAGUGACAAUAAAUACUGAUACAGGGCUCUUUUGGGUCUUGUAAUUGGAAUGAGUACAAUUUAAAUCCCUUAACGAGGAACAAUUGGAGGGCAAGUCUGGUGCCAGCAGCCGCGGUAAUUCCAGCUCCAAUAGCGUAUAUUAAAGUUGUUGCAGUUAAAAAGCUCGUAGUUGAACCUUGGGCCUGGCUGGCCGGUCCGCUCACCGCGUGCACUGGUCCGGCCGGGCCUUUCCUUCUGGGGAGCCGCAUGCCCUUCACUGGGUGUGUCGGGGAACCAGGACUUUUACUUUGAAAAAAUUAGAGUGUUCAAAGCAGGCUAUGCUCGAAUACUUAGCAUGGAAUAAUAGAAUAGGACGUGUGGUCUAU
rnacentral:rRNA from 1 species